AAAUCCAUAAAUGGAACCUUUCAUGGUAAUUGACACCGUAUUUAAAUGUAUCACGUGUAACUAUGAGUCAGAAAGGUCAGAGGUCACAUUGUGCCGGGAUGUAAAGGAAUGGAGUUGGAAUAAAAACAGCAUGUCUGUAUUCUAGAGUCCUUGAAGUGUAUUAUAUUCAGAUCAAGGCGAGGAUCUGACAUUGGCGACGAGGACGAACUAGG